rnacentral:rRNA from 1 species
AUGUUUUUUUAUUUCUCGUUUUCUUUGUCGGUUUCAUUGGUUGUUUUUCUUUUUAGUUUUCUUUACUUUUUCACAGGUUUCAUCAUUUUUUUCCUUCUAUUUUCUUGUAUUUCACUAAUUUAUUUUUAUUUCUUUCAUGGUUAUUAUUGGUGUUUUUUUCUUUCAUUUUCUGUUGUUUCAUUCUCACGUUGCAUUGGUUUUUUUUCUUACUUCCUUUCUUCAUUUUUUUUCAUUUUUAUUGGUAUUCUUCGUGUCCCUAGCUACAUUUUACGUUGCAUUAAGAAUAUUAUUUAUAUAUCGGUUUAA